AUGGGCACAGGGGGCUUCCUGGGUAGGUGGAGGGCUUCAGUGCCUGGAGCACCCGCUGUCCUACCCAAUGCAGGGAGGGGGCUCAGCAUCCCCAAUCCCCCCACCCUUCGGGAUCGCAGGGCAAACAGGACUCCCCAAGAGAAGCAGCCCAAUAGGGCUGGACCCCCCCUCCCUGCUCAAGGGGAGGCUGAGACCCCACAGUGUCUCUCCAUCACCCCCCACCCCAGCUCCAUCCCCACCCCAGCAGCCCGGGGAGGGUCUGUGUGUCCCCACCCCACUCAGGGGUCCCAGUCGGGGCCCCCCGGGGCUUGCACAACCCCCAGCCCCGCUGCCCCGGGGGGGCUGUGCCCCCUCCCCACUUCCCAGGGCAGCUCCCACCGCUGGGAGGGGAGCCCAUUGGGGGCUCAGCACCCCGAGAGGGGUUUGCAAGGACCCCCCCAAAGCAGUUACCCCUGGAAGGGUGGUUGGGCACCCCCAGGGAGGAUGCUUCCAGGGCAGGGGGGGUACAGGGGAUUCCCCCCCAAAACCGGGCACCCCCGGAGAGAGAGGGGUUGCCGAGGACACACCCAAGGAAAGGUCCGCUCAAGGGUGGGGGGUGGUGGUGGGGGUGUUACCAGACACCCCCGGCAAGAUGCGGUGGGGCGGGGGUGGGGGGUUGCUCUGCAGCCGCCGGCGGGGAGAGACGUGCCCGGGGGCUGGGUCCGUGCCGGUGCCCUGGUCUCUCCGGUCCCCCAGUGGCUCCCGGUGUCCCCCCCCUCGUCCCCGGGUGUCCCCCCCACCUCUCCUCGCCGCCUCUUACCUGCCCGGGGACGAGCUGCCGCCGCCGUGCGCCAACGCAGCCCGGGAGCGCCCGCCGGUUGUGCCCGCCGCAGCGCCGGGCUGCGGGGGGGGCACCGGCACCGGGGGGCACCGGUAGCAGCCCCCACCGGGAUCCUCCACCCGUUCCCGGGCCCCACGCACACACACACCCCCCCACCGCCCCUCCCCGGGACACUACCCCUGGUCCCCCCGCAGCUGGGAUCUGAGGCUCGGGGUGAGGGGGUGGGGGGGGUGGGGGGUGUCCCCUCUUGCACUGGCAAGGGCUGGGGCAGCUCUGGGAGCACUGGGAGGUCUUGGGGCACUGGGAGCACUGGGAUCACGCUGGGUGUCAGGAUGCCUGCAGAGCUGGGGGGGAAACGACGUGCCCCUGGUUGGGUCUUCAAGGGCUCUGUCCUAGAUGUCACUUGUCCCCUCUAUGGAGUGUCAUCCUGCCACGGGGUGGGUGGGAUGGGGAAGCCCAAGGGGGGUGUAAACACCCCCACACACAUCCCUGUGCCUGCACCGAGCUGGGGACCACGCUCUUCAUGUGCCACCCCUGCUGUCACACCUGCCUGUCCCCAUCCUGUCCCCUCGGAAAGACCCCAGGGCACGGGCCAGGGUGGUCCCUGCAGGGACACCAUGAGCCAGGGGCUGUGGGGACCCCCCUGUGCAUGCCUUGGGCACCCCCAGCUCCUGGGCUUAGCCCUCACCUUCCCACCGGCCCAAGAAAGUGCCAGGCCAGGCAUUUUGGGGCUAGAAGGGGACAUUUUGGGUUGA
rnacentral:lncRNA from 1 species